AAUCCUCAAACCCUGGUAAACAUUCUCACACCUCGACAAGCACAAAGACAUGGAGUCCAUACCCACAUCCCCAACCCACAGCAACUGUCAACGCCACCUGAGGUGUCACCACUCUUGAUGUCUUCUCCCUCUCCACCCUCCGUGUUGUCCUCUCCUCCCUCUAGUCCUUUGUUUGUGGUUUCUACCCACAGAUUGUAGAUGAAAUCAUGAGAUCUGGCAAGUUCUGAUCUUGACAAGUUCAAUCUCACUAUGAACGAGCAAUUGCAAUGAGAAAUCUUGAGCCUCUACAACGACAAUGGCCUCCAACUUUCUGAGGUAGUGGAGAAAUGAGGUGCUCUAUUCCUACAUUAGAGAUAAGAGAUUCAGUGCUUUGUCCUAACUUCUAAGUCCCCAUCAAGCCACUUGGAUGGCAUGCAUCUCUCUUAAUUUAUUUAUUAUUAUUAUUAUUAUUAUUUCUUGUUUGUUUUAUUUAAAUGGGAAGGAUUUAUUUUUUAAUGGUUUUUGUUGGUUUACAAGCAUCAAAUGGAGCGUUUUGGCCCAAAAUGAGACUUGAUCUUCUGGACAUCAUCUUAGCAAAGGUUACAAAUAAAAAAAAUCAAUGCUCUUCAAGUUCCCAAAAGAAGAGAAAUUGUUUAGUUGAGCUAAUGAUUUCUUGACUAAAUUCAUUAUGAAGUUGAACUAAGUUUAUUGUAGAUUAUAUUCAUUUUACCAAUUUUUGCACUAGUGUUUGUUUUUA